rnacentral:misc_RNA from 1 species
GAUGAAGAACGUAGCGAAAUGCGAUAAGUAAUGUGAAUUGCAGAAUUCAGUGAAUCAUCGAAUCUUUGAACGCACAUUGCGUCCGCUGGUAUUCCGGCGGGCAUGCCUGUUCGAGCGUCAUUUCAACCCUCAAGCUCUCCGGAGUUUGGUGUUGGGGCGCCUGGGGCUUUUCGACCUCAGGGCCCUCAAGUCCAUCGGCGGGACCGCCAGGACACUGAGCGCAGUAGUAUUAUUUCGCUCGGUAGGAUCUUCCACGGCGGGUCGAUCUGGCCGCUAAACCCCCCAAUUCUCACCAAAGGUUGACCUCGGAUCAGGUAGGAAUACCCGCUGAACUUAAGCAUAUCAAUAAGCGGAGGA